rnacentral:rRNA from 1 species
GACGAACGCUGGCGGCGUGCUUAACACAUGCAAGUCGAACGAAGAGCGAUGGAAGCUUGCUUCUAUCAAUCUUAGUGGCGAACGGGGGAGUAACGCGUAAUCAACCUGCCCUUCAGAGGGGGACAACAGUUGGAAACGACUGCUAAUACCGCAUACGAUCCAAUCUCGGCAUCGGGACUGGAUGAAAGGUGGCCUCUAUUUAUAAGCUAUCACUGAAGGAGGGGAUUGCGUCUGAUUAGCUAGUUGGAGGGGUAACGGCCCACCAAGGCGAUGAUCAGUAGCCGGUCUGAGGGAAUGAACGGCCCAAUUGGGACUGAGACACGGCCAGACUCCUACGGGAGGCAGCAGUGGGGAAUCUUCCGCAAUGGACGAAAGUCUGACGGAGCAACGCCGCGUGAGUGAUGACGGCCUUCGGGUUGUAAAGCUCUGUUAAUCGGGACGAAUGGUUCUUGUGCGAAUAGUGCGAGGAUUUGACGGUACCGGAAUAGAAAGCCACGGCUAACUACGU